AAAACGCAAAAAUCCACCAGUAUCUGAAGCUAGUGGCAUGCUCGUACAGAGCAGGUUUAUAUGGAAACCCGUAUAGAAAAGUGAUUUUUACUCAAAAUGAGGAUGGAUUAAAUCUUCUACUUCCUUGAUUUUUCAUAAUAAAGGGUGCUAGGAAUUUUUUUCUUGUCCUGUUGGCUAGGUCAUGGGGGUUUAUUCACUAAUCCACUGAUGACAUCACUUUUCUGCAUUAAAUCCCAGUUCUCCCUGGAAGAAGUGUUGAGUUGGCCCGGUGUAAUAUACAGUGACAUGGUUUUCAGGAAAGCGAAUAAUUAAAAUCUACACAAGCAUGGCUGUAUUGUCCCUUCUUGAGUUGCCUUACGUGCAAGAUCUCUCAUCUUUCUGCAUAAACCCCUAUUUCCAGUUUCUACAAUAUAUAAUUCUACAAUAAGUAAUAUGCAUUGUGUUCAUAUGGAGACAAACUCUCGGAUUGUUAUAUUUCUCCCACCCUACCACCUUUGGGUAAAGAGCUACUAAUGUUAAGGCUCUGCCAUUGUUGUGGUUGCUUGUGAUUUUCUUUGGUUGAUUUAGUUUUGGAACCACACUUACAAUAAACUAUUUAUCUAUCUAGCUUCUUAAAA